UAAUAAUUCUAUGAUGUAAUCAUUUAUUUACACGCACCUUAAAAAUAUUAUGAUAAUAUGAUAUAAAUUAUACACAGCACAAUUAUAAUUCUAUAAUAACAUAAUUUAUUUAGACAGAACAUGCUGAAAAAAUGUUUAUACACCUUUGUAAAAAUAACAUAAUGUAAUGAUCUUAAUCCAAGAGCAGUUUUCUAAAUUAGUGUUUAGCAGAAGGCAUAAGAAUCCACAUAGAUUGGAAGAAGGGAGAAAUUAAUUAAAGUUUUACUCUUUUAAUUGUUAUCCUCAGAUCUUUCGAUUUUAUUUAGUGGAUGCUCUCAUCUAGUAAAUGUGUACGCCGGUAGUUAUUGCAUUCCUCUACUAGAAUUGGAUAUGUGAAUGGAGGAGUUUUAUACAGUGAAAAUAAUUUAAAAGCAGCCCACUCCGACCCUCUGUUCCUACAGCUGAGGUCUGUCUGCGUGCCAGAGAUUUAGAGGAGACGCCUUUACCAGGCAGACGAGAUAACUACAUCUGUGCCACUUUAGACGGUGAUUCAGACUUCAGCUGAAAUAAAAUCCUUGUUUUCUCUUUCUGUAGCGUGGCUUCCAAGACCAAGUUCUUUGAGAAUGCUUCCAAGCAUGGAGCCAGGUGAGCAACCGUCUUGCAUUCAAUUAUCUUUAUCGUCAAUUGUAAAAUAAAAUAAAGCACCUUGAUUUAUUUCUGUGAGAAAUCACUUCAUACGAAAAGACAUGAACCCAAACAAAUGCUUAACAUUCUAAUUCUGCUUUUCUUUAUGAAGUCCAAAUGCGGCAGCAACAAUGAAUGUCAAAAAAGAGAACGCAGGGUGAGUCUCCCAGUCACCGGGACCACACCAUCUCGUUCUGGGUUGUUUUGGACCAAAGGACCAGAGGAAAUGCCCAGGAGAAGCUGCCAGCGAGUCCAUUUUGGAAAGUGGGAUACUUUCAGAGCAUUACUUUGCUCUCCAAAAGGUUUUCUGUGUCACACUAACGCUGCUUCAAAGGCUCGUCUUCCUGGUGCUUGUUCUAGCGCUUACAAAGUUAAACUGAGGUACAGAUGAAACAUCCCUCGUUACUCCUUGGUUCAACCCCAGCAUGAUACCCCCCAACAUUUUUCCAUGCCAUUAAAAGUUCUUAAUCGCCCCAUUGGGUUUUGACUCCUGUUUGAGUCUUGCUUGUUUCCCUGUUCAUGUGGUUUGUGCCAAUUUAUUUUUCCUCGGCUUAAACCAACAGGUACACACCCUCCCUCAUACUGCAUUUGUUGGAAUGCAAUUAAUACAAUUGCAAUUAAUGCUAAUUUGAAUCGUCUAAAGUGACAAAUCUGUGGUACGUUUUUUGUUUCUGUAUGUGAAAGCACCGUUGAAUAAAUACUUUGUGUUUAUUUUUUAACUUUAUAAUAGGUUUAAUAGUCUACCUGGUGAUUCAUAUGUUGGACAAUGGGCAGAUUGUAAUGAAGGAUUGGUUGGCCUAUUGUUUAGAUUUAAAAGUCGGACCAGCAGAAAAAUCUGUAGUCUGGUACUUAAUCCAAGGAUACAAAGAGUUCUCAUCUAUUCAGACUUGCUUCAGAACUUCGAGCAUUAAGUGAAACUGGUUCCCAACCGCUUUUUCUCUUUCUUUGUAAGUUUUGGAACUAGGUUUUGAUUCAUUGUGUCUGUAAAUCAUAAAGCAAUUAACAGUGUCUGGGAACUGCAGUUACCUUUAUGGUUGACCAAAAUAAAAGCAUAUUUUGGUAGGUGUACAAAACGAAUCCCAGUUACUUUAACAAAAAGCUGUUCACUCUAUUUUGUGGUGCGUGGUGUGCUUUGCCAGACUAGCUUUGGGUUGUACAGUUACAUAAUAAUGGAGCCACAGUCAGUAAGCUAAAUAUGGGAGGAAAAGCAUCGUUAAAGUAAACGAUACAUCUCCCGCAGUGUUUAAUUGUUGUUGUUGCAUUACAUGUUUUCUUUUGAUUUGUUUGGCUUUUCAGGACUCACUUUCAAUGAUUUGUUUUUAUAUUCAAAAGGGACAAUAAAAUACAAUUUAUUGACACUAUUUGGUUGCCUUUGUUUCAAUUUAGAAGUGGUUCAUUGUUGAUCAACAGGCAGAUGAAGCCCGCUGGGUUAUUUAUUAAACUAGUGUACAGUAGUUCAUUUAGUAUGAAGGACAACGUUUAUUUCUGGUAUAGCUUAAUGUUAAUAUGCUACUGAAAUUCAAACCAGGAAAGAAAUAUAGAGAAGAAAAUCCAUAAUCAGUCAGAAUUGCUUUAAUUGUCUUUAAAAAGGUGGUGCAGCUCUAUAAUUAUUGUAAAACACAAUUCACAAAAGGUAAAAAUCAUUCAAGAAAGUACUUUUAAAGUCAAAACACCAAACGGACAGAUCAUCAAUCAAUAUAUACAUAGAAGCAUCAUGUACAAAGAACCAGGUUCAUAGAUCGUACAUUCUGCACAUACCAAUUGACAUUGUGUCGUAAAACUGCAGCAGAAACAGUAUUUCAGAUUACAUACAAAUAACAUUGAAAUAACAGUAUUUCAAGUUGGCUCAGUGAGCUAAGGUGCAUGCUGUGUCAUCAGCAUGUGUUCAAACAAGUCUCAUACAUGCUGUUUUCCCCAACCCCUCCACAUCUGACCCGGUCAACCGUGUUUUAGGUCAGAAGGUAAAGCUGCACUAUUCCACGUUGCACCACUAGGUGGUACCGUGAGCCCGCUGUGUAAACCCGCCCUCCCUCCUAUUGACAGCUGUGACAUUGAUUGCUUUCUAAAGCUCCCGAUUGAGCGCGACAACAGUUUUUCUCCGUGUUUUGAGGACAUCUUUUGGCAAUAGUACUGCAGGAUGGGAAAGCUACUGCAGGAAAUUUGGACUGCGCGGAACGGGCCGUUUACUGACAUUUCUGCGUCACUUUGUGGGAUUUGCGGACCGAAGUUAAAAGGCGUCGUUGCUACGGAGCCCCGCUACGUUGUUAGGGACCCCCGCUACGUUGUUAGGGGCACCGCUACCCAGCGUUCCUCCUGAAAUGACCCGAUACGUCUUCAGCGGACAGUGUGAUUAAAAAAAACAGACCAACGGAAUCGUAGAAGCUUACCCUAAGCCCUGACACCAGGAAACAUGCUUGUUAUGCUGACAUGAAAGACUUUCGGUGGACCGUUUCAUCCCCAGCCACAUUGGAGGACAUUUUGUUUUCUUUGAGUUCUGUAAUUGUGGAUUAUGGUUUACGUAAUGUAUCAGAAGAAGUUCAGAAGUUCAGAGGUCAUAUCUUCAAUAGGGACAUUUUGAUGUUAUACACACAAACUUCGUUUGUUGUACUUUUGCAUUUGAACACGUUUGCUU